UACGGAGGGAGCUAGCGUUGUUCGGAAUUACUGGGCGUAAAGAGCUCGUAGGCGGUUCGUCGCGUCGGCUGUGAAAUCCCGAGGCUCAACCUCGGGUCUGCAGUCGAUACGGGCGGACUGGAGUUCGGCAGGGGAGACUGGAAUUCCUGGUGUAGCGGUGAAAUGCGCAGAUAUCAGGAGGAACACCGGUGGCGAAGGCGGGUCUCUGGGCAUUACCUGACGCUGAGGAGCGAAAGUGUGGGGAGCGAACAGG
rnacentral:rRNA from 1 species